CUACGGGUCGCUCCAGUGAGGAAUAUUGCACAAUGGGGGGAACCCUGAUGCAGCAACGCCGCGUGGAGGAUGACGCAUUUCGGUGUGUAAACUCCUUUUAUAUGUCAAGAAAAUGACGGUAGCAUAUGAAUAAGCACCGGCUAACUCCGUACCAGCAGCCGCGGUAAUACGGAGGGUGCAAGCGUUUACUCGGAAUCACUGGGCGUAAAGGACGCGUAGGCGGGUUGGAAAGUCAGGUGUGAAAUCCUACAGCUUAACUGUAGAACUGCACUUGAAACUUCUAAUCUAGAGUAUGGGAGGGGGAGAUGGAAUUAGUGGUGUAGGGGUAAAAUCCGUAGAUAUCACUAGGAAUACCUAAAGCGAAGGCGAUCUCCUGGAACAUUACUGACGCUAAGGCGUGAAAGCGUGGGGAGCAAACAGGAUUAGAUACCCCCGUGGUC
rnacentral:rRNA from 1 species